rnacentral:rRNA from 1 species
CAGUCGCCGCGGUAAUACAGAGGGUGCAAGCGUUAAUCGGAGUUACUGGGCGUAAAGGGCGCGUAGGCGGUUAUAUAAGUGAGAUGUGAAAUCCCUGGGCUUAACCUAGGAACUGCAUCUUAUACUGUAUGGCUAGAGUAUUGUAGAGGGUAGUGGAAUUUCCGGUGUAGCGGUGAAAUGCGUAGAGAUCGGAAGGAACACCAGUGGCGAAGGCGGCUACCUGGACAAAUACUGACGCUGAGGCGCGAAAGCGUGGGGAGCAAACAGGAUUAGAUACCCCUGUAGUCCCUGUCUCUUAUAA